rnacentral:rRNA from 1 species
AGUUCGGAUCGGAGUCUGCAACCCGAACUCCGUGAAGCUGGAUUCGCUAGUAAUCGCGCAUCAGCCAUGGCGCGGUGAAUACGUUCCCGGGCCUUGUACACACCGCCCGUCAAGCCAUGGGAGCCGGGGGUGCUUGAAGUGCGUCGCCGCAAGGCGCGCCCUAGAGCAAAACCGGUGACUGGGGCUAAGUCGUAACAAGGUAGC